rnacentral:rRNA from 1 species
GAUUCCUACGGGAGGCAGCAGUAGGGAAUCUUCCGCAAUGGGCGAAAGCCUGACGGAGCAACGCCGCGUGAGUGAUGAAGGUCUUCGGAUCGUAAAACUCUGUUAUUAGGGUAGAACAAAUGUGUAAGUAACUAUGCACGUCUUGACGGUACCUAAUCAGAAAGCCACGGCUAACUACGUGCCAGCAGCCGCGGAAAUACGUAGGUGGCAAGCGUUAUCCGGAAUUAUUGGGCGUAAAGCGCGCGUAGGCGGUUUUUUAAGUCUGAUGUGAAAGCCCACGGCUCAACCGUGGAGGGUCAUUGGAAACUGGAAAACUUGAGUGCAGAAGAGGAAAGUGGAAUUCCAUGUGUAGCGGUGAAAUGCGCAGAGAUAUGGAGGAACACCAGUGGCGCAGGCGACUUUCUGGUCUGUAACUGACGCUGAUGUGCGAAAGCGUGGGGAUCAAACAGGAUUAGAUACCCUGGUAGUCCACGCCGUAAAUGAUGAGUGCUAAGUGUUAGGGGGUUUCCGCCCCUUAGUGCUGCAGCUAACGCAUUAAGCACUCCGCCUGGGGAGUACGACCGCAAGGUUGAAACUCAAAGGAA